rnacentral:rRNA from 2 species
GCUCCCUGAGAUUAGCGGCGGACGGGUGAGUAACACGUGGGCAACCUGCCUAUAAGACUGGGAUAACUUCGGGAAACCGGAGCUAAUACCGGAUACGUUCUUUUCUCGCAUGAGAGAAGAUGGAAAGACGGUUUACGCUGUCACUUAUAGAUGGGCCCGCGGCGCAUUAGCUAGUUGGUGAGGUAAUGGCUCACCAAGGCGACGAUGCGUAGCCGACCUGAGAGGGUGAUCGGCCACACUGGGACUGAGACACGGCCCAGACUCCUACGGGAGGCAGCAGUAGGGAAUCUUCCGCAAUGGACGAAAGUCUGACGGAGCAACGCCGCGUGAACGAAGAAGGCCUUCGGGUCGUAAAGUUCUGUUGUUAGGGAAGAACAAGUACCAGAGUAACUGCUGGUACCUUGACGGUACCUAACCAGAAAGCCACGGCUAACUACGUGCCAGCAGCCGCGGUAAUACGUAGGUGGCAAGCGUUGUCCGGAAUUAUUGGGCGUAAAGCGCGCGCAGGUGGUUCCUUAAGUCUGAUGUGAAAGCCCACGGCU